UACGGAAGGCAGCAGUGGGGAAUAUUGCACAAUGGGCGCAAGCCUGAUGCAGCCAUGCCGCGUGUAUGAAGAAGGCCUUCGGGUUGUAAAGUACUUUCAGUCGUGAGGAAGGUGUUAAGGUUAAUAACCUUAGCAAUUGACGUUAGCGACAGAAGAAGCACCGUCUAACUCCGUGCCAGCAGCCGCGGUAAUACGGAGGGUGCGAGCGUUAAUCGGAAUUACUGGGCGUAAAGGGCACGCAGGCGGUUAAUUAAGUUGGAUGUGAAAUCCCCGGGCUUAACCUGGGAAUGGCAUUCAAGACUGGUUAGCUAGAGUCUUGUAGAGGGGGUAGAAUUCCAUGUGUAGCGGUGAAAUGCGUAGAGAUGUGGAGGAAUACCGGGUGGCGAAGGCGGCCCCUGGGACAAAGGACUGACGCUCAUGUGCGAAAGCGUGGGGAGCAAACAGGGAUUAGAUACC
rnacentral:rRNA from 1 species